GCACCUGUGGCAUAUGGAAGUUCCCAGGCUCGGGGUCGAUCCAGAGCUACAGCUGCAAGCCUACACCACAGUCACAGCAACAAGGGAUCUGAGCCGAGUCUGUGACCUACACUCCAACUCAUGGCAAUGCCGGAUCCUUAAUCCACUGAGUGAGGUCACAGAUCAAACCCGCAUCCUUAUGAAUACUAGUCGGAUUCGUUUCUGCCGCACCACCAUGGGAACUCCCUUUGUGCAUCUUUAUGACGCUUAUAUUAUUUGCCCCACGCUUCUAGUGAAUAAAUCUGUAAGGAUGAUGUGAGGGACACAGGCCAUGCAGCCAGAGUGGGCUUCCCUGAGCUUGGAGGCCGGGCUGGCUGGCUCGCCUCAGUAUUUCCCUGCCGCUGGGCAUCCCCCUGAGCCCUGGCUUUCUGAAACCACAUACGGGUCCAGCACCGUCGUGUUGGCUGCAGGUCUCGCUGCUGGUCGCACGGGGGUUGAGGAUUCUACCAAAUUCCAAAGGUACACACACACAUUCAUACACACACAGACGCGUAGUCUAUAGUCCAGAGAAAACUCUGUAGGAUCUGAGCACAUCCCUCUGGAUAUCCUUCACAGUAAGUAUAUUUGAUUUUUAGAGAUGAAUGGAAAGCAUGUGGAGUCUGUGACAUUGUGAGGCAUAAGAAGAGAUCUACGUCCAGUCUCAUUCCUGGUCCCUGACCCAAGGCUCCUAAAACCCCUGUAAAUUCCUAAGUAACAAGAGCACUAGGAGCAACUUUGUUCUAAUGAGGAGACUCUGGAGGGGGUCGUGGAUGGGGCUGGUCAACAGGAAGACCACGCCAUACUUAGAAGCUUGGAAUGUGCAGUCCCCUCCCGCUUCUCCAGCAAGGGGAGAGGGGCUAGAAAUGGAGUUCAUGCUUGAUCGCGCCUCCGCAGGGCAACUGCCAUAAAAUGCCCAUGGCAUGGGAUUCAGAGAGCUUCCAGGCAUAUGGACACGUCCACCAGGAGGAGGAGGCACCCCAAGUCCCCAGAAACAGAAGCUCCUGGGCUCCGGAUUCUCCCAGGCUUUGCCCCGCGUACCUCUUCCUCUGGCUGUUCAUCUGCAGCCUUUACCGUAUCCUUAAUGAGCUGGUAAGUGGAAGCGAAUGUUCCCCUGAGCGCUGUGAGCUGCUCUAGUAAAUUAUCCCAACCCAAGGAGGGAAUGCAGGAACCUCCGAUUCGUGGCCAAGUUAGACAGAAGGUGUGGGUCACCGGGGACCUAGCCUUGUGAUUGGCCUCGGACGUGGGGUGGGGGGGCAGUCUCCUGGGACUGAGCCCUUCACCUGAGGGAUCGGAUGCUAUUUCCAAGUAGACAGUCUCAGAACGGAGUUAAACUGCAGGACACCCAGCUGCUGUCAGAGAAUUGCUUGCUGACCAGACGGGUCAGACGUGAAGCAGUCUGUGUGACAGUAAAGGAUAAAGAUAGGAAAAAAAAAAAAAAAAAAAAAGACUCAGUUUCUCCAAUACAGAGCAUUUGUAUGCUCUGGUUUCAUGGGCUGUGGAUUUAUUUAGUGGAUAAGGUGGUGAAGUGGGUAGUCAGGGUGGGGAAGGAAUGACAGAAGAAAGGUAUGAAUACAUGGAUGUAUUCAUGUCUUCUACCGCCCACCCUGAGCCCAGUACCCCACCUGGGACUGCUGCCCAGGUCCCCAGCUCGUCUAUGGCCACACUACAGGCAGAUGCUCUUAUCAUCCUUUUCCAGGGGAGGAAACCAAGGUCAGAAGAGAGAAAACUCCUCCACUAGUUAGUGGCAAAACUGGAACUGGAAUCUAAUGAGAGCUUUCUUGGGUCAAAACUUAAAAGACACACAAAGAAAGAUGCACGUGACUGCUGCAAAGCAAGGAGAUGAUUUUCUAAUAUGGCUCCAAGAACUGGCCCUGCAGGUAAUUUUAAACCCAUGAAUCUGAAAAUGUUUUGAGAAAUGGCAGCAGCAUCAUAAUAAAACUAAAGUUCCCAAGGAGACCAGCAUGAUGGGAACAAAUAUCUCGCUUGCCAGCUUCUGCAUUAUUUUUGUUUGAAGGCAGAGAAUGUCCUAGUUGCAUCUCAGAUAUGAUUCUUUGGGGGGGGGCAGGUGUGCACACCCACAGCAUAUGGAGGUUCCCAGGCUAGGGGUCAAACCAGAGCUAGAGCUGCUGGGUUACACCACAGUCACAGCAACAUGGGAUCCAAACCGUGUCUUCGACCUACUACAUCAUAGCUCAUGGCAACACUGGAUCUUUAACCCACUGAGUGAGGCCAGGGAUUGAACCCGUGUCCUCAUGGGUACUAGUAGGGUUCAUUUCCACUGAGCAAUGACGGGAACUCCCUGGAUAUGAUUCUGGCACCAGUUUGGACCUGAAAGAUCUUUGUCAGCACCCUCACUCCAGGCAGGUGAAGCUCGGCUUCGGAGAUGGGGAGUUACUUGCUCAAGUUCACAAGGUGAAUUUAGGCAGAGCCUUGACUAACACCCAAGUGCUUGAGAAGGCAGAGCUGCCUCCCCGCAGCACACUGCUUGCUCCCCUCUGGUAAAGCUCCCUAACAACAAUAGUUAACGUUUAAACACACACACACACACACACACACACACACACACAAACCAAGAAACUUUCUGGAGUUCCCGCUAUGGUGCAGUGGGUUAAGAAUCCCACUGCGGAGGUGCAGGUUCAAUCUCCAGCCCAGCGCAGUGGGGUAAAGGAUCUGGCAUUGCUGCAGAUGUGGUAAAGGUCGCAGCUGCAGCUUGGAUUCAGUCCCUGGCCCAGAACUGCCAUAUGCCCUGAGGCAGCCAUUAAAAACACACACACACACACACACACACACACACACACACACACACACAAAACCAUUCUAUAGUAAACCAAGGCCCAGAGAAAUUAAAUAGUAGGGCCAUGUUAUAGAAUUAGGAAAUAGAGGCUCCAGGAUUUGAACCCAGGUCUGCCCACCUCCAGAACCCAUGCGUUUAAACAACCGCCUCCUUUUGUCCCAGCUCCCUCACCCUCUUCCUCUGCGGUCCCCCAGGAGCCUGGGAUAAGGCACAUUCCACUUAAGCUCACCUUCCCCCCCCCCCCCCCCCCCCCCCCCCCGCAACCAGUCACUUCCCUUCUUUUCUUGUUUAUCAACACAAAUAGCCUGUCCUCCUGGCACGUUUGUUUUGUCGGAGGCCUGCCUUAUUCCCUGGGAACCUGGGGGAACAAUGAGCACGGCCGAGCCGUCCGGAGCCCCGCCCCCAUCCUGGACGGCUUCCUCAGCUUCCCCUGCGCACGCCUGACCCCAGCAGAGACUGCGUGGAGGCCCCUCCAGCUUGUCUUGCAAAGUGCGUCAAUCACUUGUUUACUUGCUUUUCCUGCCUGACCCUGGGGGUUCCGCUGGUGUUGCUUCCCUCUGGAGGUUCUCUGGGGGUGAGCUUUGAUCUCCAGAGGGGAAGGGGCAGCAGGAAGACUGCGGCCAGAGAUGCUAGGAGUCUGUCAGCAUCUGACUCAUUCUGGCUGGGGGCGGGGGGAGCCCUCUCUUCAAGUAGCUUGAGGAUGCUGGUGAGAGCUGCCCAGCUCUGCCAGGCCCUGGAUGGAGGCCUUCCUUUUCUCUGGGACGGUUGGAAGAGGGAUAAAAAUUCCACAAGUCAGAAGUAAAUUCCCCCAGGCCUUUCUGCCCUGAGCCAGCAGUAGGGCUCAUCGACUAAUAAACCGGUGUACAACCUGUCCCCUGAAAAGCCACAGCUGCAGGCCCCCCAUUGGAGGGAGAUGUUCUUAGAUGUGCCCCUUCCUUUGGAAAAGGCUGCUCGUAAAAACAACCCUCCAUACGGUCGGAUUUGAGAACCGGAAGGGAAGCGCCGCUGCAACGCUGCCUGAAACACCACCCCAUCAGACAGCUAUUUCUUUGGGCUCCUGAGGGCUUUUUGAUCCUCCAAAUCCAUAUUAACCCGAAAAUGUAAUCUAAAUAUUAAAAUAUCGGUCGGCAUCCCAGCAGGAAAUAGAAGGGACACUCAAAAAUGUUGACUUUUAACUGGUAACUGCAGGUUACCAGUGAACUGAAGGUACAUGAUUUCAUGACUUCACAGGAUGGCUCUGCUUGCUAUGUAAAUUCUUACUAACAAG
rnacentral:lncRNA from 1 species